rnacentral:misc_RNA from 1 species
UACGUAGGGGGCGAGCGUUGUCCGGAUUUAUUGGGCGUAAAGAGCUCGUAGGCGGCUCGGUAAGUCGGAUGUGAAAUCUCCAGGCUUAACCUGGAGAGGCCAUUCGAUACUGCUGUGGCUAGAGUCCGGUAGAGGAGCAUGGAAUUCCCGGUGUAGCGGUGAAAUGCGCAGAUAUCGGGAGGAACACCAGUAGCGAAGGCGGUGCUCUGGGCCGGUACUGACGCUGAGGAGCGAAAGCGUGGGGAGCGAACAGG